CAUUAUAGUCAUUCUAAAUGUUUAUAAGAAUAAACACUGGAAGCUAGUUAAAAAUUCAGUCUCAGAAGCUAAGCAGAGUCAGGCUUGGUUAGUACUUGGAUGGGAAACCACCUUGGAAGACCAGGUGCUGUAGGCA
rnacentral:rRNA from 1 species